rnacentral:rRNA from 1 species
AGAGUUUGAUCCUGGCUCAGAGCGAACGCUGGCGGCAGGCCUAACACAUGCAAGUCGAGCGGCCGUAGCAAUACGGCAGCGGCAGACGGGAGAGUAACACGUGGGAACGCGCCCUUUGGUUCGGAAUAACUCAGGGAAACUUGGGCUAAUACCGGAUACGCCCUUACGGGGAAAGAUUUAUUGCCGAAGGAACGGCCCGCGUCCGAUUAGCUUGUUGGUGAGGUAACGGCUCACCAAGGCGACGAUCGGUAGCUGGUCUGAGAGGAUGACCAGCCUCACUGGGACUGAGACACGGCCCAGACUCCUACGGGAGGCAGCAGUGGGGAAUAUUGGACAAUGGGCGCAAGCCUGAUCCAGCCAUGCCGCGUGAGUGAUGAAGGCCCUAGGGUUGUAAAGCUCUUUCAGCGGGGAAGAUAAUGACGGUACCCGCAGAAGAAGCCCCGGCUAACUUCGUGCCAGCAGCCGCGGUA